rnacentral:ncRNA from 1 species
UUAAAUUACCGGAGAGAAAUCUUGUCAGGUCGAUAGUUAGAUUUUGAUUAUUUAUAAUUAAGCGUGCUUUUAUGUACGCCAUGCUAACUGGGAUUAAGCUACUUUAAGUAGCUUUUUUUCAUUUUACU